GACGAACCGUCCAAACGUUAUUCGGAAUCACUGGGCUUACAGAGUUCGUAGGCGGUCCCAAAAGUUAGGUUUGAAAUCCCUCGGCUCAACCGAGGAACUGCGCUUAAAACUGUGGGACUCGAGGGAGAUAGAGGAAAGCGGAACUGAUGGUGGAGCGGUGAAAUGCGUUGAUAUCAUCAGGAACACCGGUGGCGAAGGCGGCUUUCUGGGUCUUACCUGACGCUGAGGAACGAAAGCUAGGGGAGCGAACGGGAUUAGAUACCCCGGUAGUCCUAACCGUAAACGAUGAGCACUAGGUCGUGGGCCUCCACAGGCCCUCGGCCGUAGCGAAAGUGUUAAGUGCUCCGCCUGGGGAGUAUGGUCGCAAGGCUGAA
rnacentral:rRNA from 1 species